rnacentral:misc_RNA from 1 species
AACGCAACUGGCGCUGCUUUACAGGCCUGCCUGUUUCAGUGUGCUAGGAUAGCAAACUAUCAUUAUAAAAUAUAAUGCGAUUGAGGUACAUUUAUGUUCUUCUUUCGUUAAAUAUGAAGGUGUGAUAGAUGAGUAAUCUCUCACACUGGCAAACGAAGUAGUCAUGCUUGUUCGUGAUCUCGCUUAACCAGUGCUAAAGGUUUUUGCUUAGCUAUAAAUCACAUCUAAUCAAUUAAAUAUCUCCAAAUUUGGCAUCUGAAAUCAGACAAGCAUACCCGCUGAACUUAA